ensembl:lncRNA
AGGCUUUCUCUCAGCCACAAUCUUAGCUUAGCUGUAAGGAAGACUGCAGUCACGUAGCACUUUGCUUCCAGGGAUCUCAAAGAACUUUAUGCAUCAUUUAUCGUGACCCUUGUUUUACAAAAGACCAGUUACCUGAGGUUUGGGCGGGGGUUAGGGGAUAGAUGUUUGAGGUAUAUUUACACCAUUAAUCGAGUGAGGGGGAAAAAAGACAAAACCUCUGGUUUAGCGGUUUCCUCCUCGAUCUGAAGCCCCUUCUCGCAGUCAUCUCAGCAAUGAAACUUCCUUUAUUUGUCCAGCACGAGAGGGCCAAAGAAACAGGUUUAUCCUCUCACCCAAAAGCCCUUUCUGAGACGGCUGGCCAGACACACACAGAGCACAGAGCCCUGCUUGGGAAGGAAGGUUCAGAGAACAAAUUGCCUUUUAAAACUGUUGGGCUGGACCUGCCUCUUCCAAAGCUAAAAAUGGUGAGUCAGGAUUUAGGCGUCCAUGCUCUGGGGAGAGAAGGCAGAUGUAAUUGGGGAAAGCUCUGGCUGGCAGGGUGUUGGGGUACAGGCGAGUUGGGGAGCUAGGUCUCCCAAGGGGGCCAGCAAUGCGCGUGCUAGUCGAUUGCGGGCUCCCGACGCGAGACACCCCAAAACCUGCUCCCCAGUGAGAACAAAGGCAGGCGCGGAGCGAGAACCUGAUUGGUGCCCGGUCCUCACCGGUGUCCUCCGGGCCCCGGAGAUAACUUGCUUCACCCACUGGCGCGGAGCUCCGUCUCACUGGAGCCCCAGCUCCCCACCCGGCCUUGGCUGUGACCACACAGGACUGUGCGUUAUGACAUCACCUGUUUUCGCUCUUUAGAACACGAUCAGUAUUCUCGGCUUCUCCUUUUUUAAAGGUCUCUAGUGCACAAGGAUUUGCGAAGGCCUGCCGUUCACAGAAUGAAUCUGUGGAGAUGAUUUAAAAGAACGGUUGCACUGGUUUGCAUUUCUGUCUUUUCUUUUUAAUUUAAAAGACUACCCUGGUUUCAUUAGGGAUUCAGUGUGGUGUUGUGAUGCAAAAUCAGAAAGAGACCAACACGCUUAAACGAAGUCUACACAAGGAACAAAGGAAAUGGAAAUCUGGCAGUGUCAGGUUUAAAUAGAUUAAAAUAGACUGGAAAACACUAAAAAGGUCUAAGUUAUGUGACUGGACUUCUUUUUUCUUUCUCUGGGGGCCACCCAAAGCCUUUGGAUUGCAGGCAUAUGUUUGUGGAGUGCUUACUGUGUGCCAGGCACUUGGCUAAUCACGGAGAUAAAGUGAUGAACUGCUUCAACAACAUCAUUCUACCCGGAUUCCAGAGUGAGAUCAGACUCAAGUCUGGCCACAUGGCACAAAUGGACAACCCAUACAUUUGGAGAGACUCCAAGAAAUCCAUCCGAAGCACUGAAUGGUCCUGGCCCUGUUCCAAAAUUUUACUAACCUUCCACAAAUUGGGAUUCCAGACACGUUCUUACCUUGGCCUCCAGGAUAAUGGAAGCCACAAAAGAGACAGAAAUUAAAAUGUCAGCCCAGCUGGGCCCCACAAUGUGGGCCAGCAAUUACAGUGGAACCCACUGCCUCUUAGAUCACCUUAGUGCAGAACAUCUGUGUUUCCUGCAACAAAGAUAAUAAAAUAAUCCAGAGCCCUGUCUUACAUGCUCCUUAACUCUGC